UACAGAGGGGGCAAGCGUUGUUCGGAAUUACUGGGCGUAAAGGGCGCGUAGGCGGCCUGCUAAGUCGAACGUGAAAUCCCCGGGCUUAACCCGGGAACUGCGUCCGAUACUGGUGGGCUUGAAUCCGGGAGAGGGAUGUGGAAUUCCAGGUGUAGCGGUGAAAUGCGAAGAUAUCUGGAGGAACACCGGUGGCGAAGGCGGCAUCCUGGACCGGUAUUGACGCUGAGGCGCGAAAGCUAGGGGAGCAAACGGG
rnacentral:rRNA from 1 species